UAUGUGAUCGUCUCUUGCAUAUCAAUAAGCGGAGGAAAAGAAACUAACAAGGAUUCCCCUAGUAACGGCGAGUGAAGCGGGAAGAGCUCAAAUUUGAAAUCUUAAAGGGUUUCCCUUUACGAAUUGUAGUUUAAAGAAGUGUUUUCUGUUGAGGUUUUGGUAAAAGUUCUUUGGAAUAGGACAUCAUAGAGGGUGAGAAUCCCGUAUUUGACCUUUACUUUCAACUUUGUGAUACACUUUCAAAGAGUCGGAUUGUUUGGGAAUGCAGUCCAAAAUGGGUGGUAGAUUUCAUCUAAAGCUAAAUAUUGGCGAGAGACCGAUAGCGAACAAGUACCGUGAGGGAAGGAUGAAAAGAACUUUGAAAAGAGAGUUAAACAGUACGUGAAAUUGUCAAAAGGGAAGCGUUUGACACCAGUGUUGUUUUUCUGAAAAUCAGUUAAAGAACUGUUUAUGCUAAGCUGUUUAGACUUUAUCAGCUAUCUGUUUAGUUUUGAGCUUUUCUUUAAUGCACUUUUCAGUUAACAAGUCAACAUCAAUUUCUUUUGCUGUAAAAAAGCUUGAGGAAGGUGGCUUGAGAUUCGUCUUAAGUGUUUAUAGCCUCUUGCCUAUGCAGUCGGAGAGAUUGAGGUCUGCAGCGUAGAUCCUUCGGGGCUAAAUGCAUUUGUGCUAAGUUAUAGCAUUUUAUAGACAACUUGUUGACUAUGAUUUGUCUUGUAGCUUACUCGCUUAUGUUAUUUUACCUACGCUUAGGAUGUUGAGCGCAUGUCUCUCUCU
rnacentral:rRNA from 1 species